UCCCUGGAGGACUAGUGGUUAGGCUACAGCGCUCUCACCACUGCGGCCCGGGUUCGGUUCCCGGCCAGGGGG
rnacentral:tRNA from 1 species